rnacentral:rRNA from 1 species
AUUACUCCUACGGGAGGCAGCAGUGGGGAAUUUUGGACAAUGGGCGUAAGCCUGAUCCAGCCAUGCCGCGUGAGUGAAGAAGGCCUUCGGGUUGUAAAGCUCUUUUAGUCGGAAAGAAAAAAUCAUGGUUAAUAGCCAUGAUUUAUGACGGUACCGACAGAAGAAGCACCGGCUAACUACGUGCCAGCGCCGCGGUAAUAAU